rnacentral:rRNA from 1 species
UACGGGGGGGAGCAAGCGUUGUUCGGAUUUACUGGGCGUAAAGGGCGCGUAGGCGGCGCAACAAGUCACUUGUGAAAUCUCCGGGCUUAACCCGGAGCGGCCAAGUGAUACUGUCGUGCUAGAGUGCGGAAGGGGCUACUGGAAUUCUCGGUGUAGCGGUGAAAUGCGUAGAUAUCGAGAGGAACACCGUCGGCGAAGGCGGGCAGACUGG